UCCCCUAUAUAUAUAUAUAGUUAUGUACAUUCUCCAACGCUGCAAAUUAAGACGAGUUGCAGAAUUGAAUUUCACAUCUCCAUCAAACCUUUUGCUUCUCUUCUGUACAAACUACUACGAAAACACUCUCUACUUUUCUUGAAUUCUCCUAUGUGAAAAAGUCGUCUACCUGUUUCCUCAGUUCAUAGUUUUUGCAUUUCUUCAAUUAAGUACCCGCUUCAGAUUAAUUUUGUCUGUGUUCGAAUAAUUAAUGGGAAGUGAGCAAAAGGAGGGUGGUGGAAAGGGCAAUGAUGAGUCGAAGAAGAGAAAGCGGAGGAGGCAGAAGAGACUGUCUCCGGUUCAAAGGCUUUACGAUUCUUGCAAGCAAGUGUUUGCCGAUUGUGGCCCUGACAUUGUUCCAUCACCCCACAAAGUCCAAAUGCUUGCCGCUGUUUUGGCCCAACAUAGGUCCGACGAUAUUCCUGAAGGUGACCUAGAUGCCGUACUAAUUUCACGGUGUGCGGAUGGUAGCUUUUGGACUCAUUUUCAUCAAAAUAAUAUGUCCGAGCGUGUACAAAAAAUCCUACACCGAAUAGAAUUUUAUGGAGUCUACAGGUGCGGAUGCCUUCAAUUAAAUCAACACCUCAUCACUGCAUUAAUGGAGAGGUGGCGAUCGAAGAUGCACACUUUUUAUUUUCGUGUAGGAAAAGCCACAAUUACCCUACAAGAUAUUCAAAUAAUAUGGGCACUCCCAAUAGACGGCGAGCCGGUGACUGGAAUUGAUCUCGACCGCACAACACAACAAUGACAGGAAUAUUGCCUUACUUACAUAGGCUUUAGCCCGGAUGCAAAUGCGUUGAGGGGCUCGAGACUAUAGACAUCCGCAAUUACAUCUCAUUUGGCGCUGUCGAGAUCACUUAUAACACUCCCCACGAUAUCGUCGUCCAAUACGCACGUGCCGUUGCAUUACUUCUAUUUGGGGGUUUGAUGUGCCCAGAUUCCUCAAGUAACUAUGUCUCAUUACUUUAUCUUUCAAAAUUAGAAGAUAUAUAAACCGCGAGGAACUAUAGUUGGGAGUGUUGUGCUGGCAUUUUUAUAUCGUGAAUUAUGCAAUGCCAGCACAAAAAGCAAAGCGGCAAUUGGUGGGACGCUGCAAUUGCUACAGGUAAAAUUGACUUAAAAAUUCUUACACAUUUUUUUGGCUAUUAAUAUUCAUUAAUAACACAUAUUUGUAUUGUUCGUGCAAAUUUGGGCAUGGUUACGGAUUACGCCACUUUGUCGUGAACUUGGUGCCCAACGACUAUUUAUGGGCCAAAUCCAAAUGCAUAACAAUCGCUGGCUCCCAGCAGCACCAUAUGGUGCUACUUGGAAUUGUCAGCACACUUGCACCAGCACAGUACGGGGAACUGUCCGAGUCAUACGAGAAAUUCUGGAUGAGAUGCAGGCGGAUCAGUUCAUAUGGCAGCCGUAUGACAUGGACUCGGAUGUCAUUAUGGCUUACGCCGAUGAAUUGAACCCCCAGUUGUGGAGGUCAUCCAUUCUAUUGAUAUUCUACGCAAUAAUUGAAAUGCAUCGUCCCGAACGGGUUGUUCGUCAAUUCGAGAUGAGGCAAAAUGUACCAAAAUCGACGGAUACCCGGGAUAUGAGCCUCCAUCAGAUUUUUCGUAAAAAUCACGCGCGCAGAUUGGUACCUGCAAUACAUACAAUAUAUCACUAGAUGGCAAAGAUGAUAUGACAUGGUUGUACAUAGGCCUCCCAUUUUCGAUAGAAGGGAAACAGAACGAGGUUAUUGGGAAUGGUACUACAACAUAACAAGAAAUUUCGUAUCGUCAUCUACCGAUAGACGUGCGGAAAGCGGGUACCAACCUGGAGAAGCACAUCUGUUGCAAGCAAAUGAGGUGAAUGCCCUUGAAACUUUAUGUCGAUCUAGACCAUCAAAUAUUGAAGGAUAUAGUCAAUUGGUGGAUAGAUUUGAACAUAGGUUACAUAUUAUCAAGGAAGCUAUAACCCAACAGCCACAACAAAUUGCUUCUCCAUCCGAUGAUGCUCCCACAACAUCCUACAGGCAAA